UACGAAGGGGGCGAGCGUUGUUCGGAUUUACUGGGCGUAAAGGGCGCGCAGGCGGCCGCUCAAGUCAGACGUGAAAUCCCUCGGCUUAACCGGGGAACUGCAUCUGAUACUGGAUGGCUUGAGUUCGGGAGAGGGAUGCGGAAUUCCAGGUGUAGCGGUGAAAUGCGUAGAUAUCUGGAGGAACACCGGUGGCGAAGGCGGCAUCCUGGACCGACACUGACGCUGAGGAGCGAAAGCCAGGGGAGCAAACGGG
rnacentral:rRNA from 1 species